rnacentral:lncRNA from 1 species
AUGCUGCCGGACUGUGGACACAUGAAAAGUAAACACAAUUUCAACCGAUUACGAUGGUGGUCGAGAAACAUAACAUUAUACAUCGUCAAAACAUCAUAAUAUAUUAUAUUAUUUUUUAACAUCAUUAUCGAGCUCUAGACUCUCGGCGUUUAAUCGUUUUCCGAUUUUUUUUUAUGAAACCACGGCCGAAAUUGUGUGAGACGCAGUGUCAUAAGUAAUAAUGCUUUUUUUCAUGGACAGAUUUUCGUAUCCAUGCUCGCCGUUAUCAUGGCCGUUAUCAGGUCCAUUGUUUUGGUAUUUACUAUUUACAUGACCGCAGCCUGCCGCCAGCCGUGAUCCGAACAAAAUAUUGUGUAUCGCAAUAUUAUUAUUUUUUUUAACUGUUUAGACUAGACGAUAAGUUUGUCUGUUUGUGUUUUUUUUUUUUGAAAUUUUUUUUUUGAAUCCAAAUCUGUGCGUGGAGACCGAUCGGAGGCGACCACGUAAACGAAUCACGCCUAUAUUACUGGUUUCACUUAAGCGUUGAGCUGACUACCAAGUUGCAUCAUUCCUGUUACCACGACUUGCGUUCUUCUUGCACGAUUUAGGUUAUUCAAUUUUUGAUAAUGGGUGAUGAAUAAUAAUUGCUGCAGGUAGUCAAACAACAUUACAAUUCUUUCAAAGCUAUGUUUUCCUCAGGUAAACUACUUGUUUUAAUAACUUAAUGCGCUGUAUUCGUCUUUUUGG